rnacentral:lncRNA from 1 species
CUCACCCUCACAAACCCUAAGCCUCCUCACACCCCCUAAGCUCUAAGCUCUCUCUCUCCCUCUUCAACAGAGAAAUAUAAUACAAUCAGUGUGGAAAUAGCCCAAAUCUUGAGGUGAACCACGAUACAUCUUGUGUUAUUUACAUUUCAUGCAGAUUCACUGCCGGAUUUACUUUGUUCCAAGAUCUCCGGUUUUGUGCAUCAACAUUUAGCGCCGUUUGUGUAAAUCGACAUGAAAAACUAUGUCGGUUCUCUUUCAUUUUUUCAUAAAAUCUCACCACCGUGAGUCUGCAGAAACCAAUAGCUCAAGACUUUUCCAGAAAACCCAACUUUUCAAUCUUUUCAAUUAACGUCCCUUCAUUUUAGCGGAUCAGCUCUUUAUUAUAUCUCAGUAUUUUCCAAUUUAAUCCCACAACUCAAAAACUUAGUCUGUUUCUUUCAGCUAUCUCUCUCUUUAUGCACUUUCUGUUGGCCAAAUUCACGGAAGGGGCUGCUGCUUCAGAGUUUUCACUCCUCCAUCACAAUUUUCCCCAGAAGAGCCAUUGGUGAAAGCUUGAAUUUCCCAAGACUUAUUGUUCUUGAUCUGAAAGCAGCAAUCAUUAUUGAGAUGCUCCCUUGAGAAUGCGAUAUCUUUGUCCCCAAAUGGGUCGCCGGAGCUCCAAGAGUUGAGACGAUGGUGUGCGUUUUGGGCACGGAGGUAUCCGUCACUAGAAGUUAUCGGCGUUCCAGUGAAGCUCGGCGCCGUUGCCGGAGCAUCAAGGAGCCAUCUGGCGCCACUGACCAAGUGAAAGCAGGUCAAAGCAAAGUCGCCAGUCGUACGGCCCAAACUCCAUAGCUGUUAAGCGCAUGUGAGACAAAGGGAAGAAGAGAGAUCGCUACGUAUAUAAACCACCUCCAACAACAUCCAAGUGAUUGUGUUUCGUCGUGUACCUUCGAGUCCCCACCCAUCCAAUCAGAGUAUUUAACCAAGAGCUCAAGACGUCAGCGAGGGGACGGUGAGGGGGGAGAUGGAGGGGUUCGGGGAGGUGAGGUGGGUGCAGAUGAAUAGGGCGUGCGACGGGAUCGUGACCGUCCACUUCUACGAUCUCAGGCAUGCAGAGAAGGCGUUGGAUAAACCGUUUAACAUAGUGGGUGAAGGGAUAGUUGGACGAGCUGCAUUUACGGGGAACCAUCAAUGGAUUUUAUCAGGCAAUUACAGAAAAGAUACCCAUCCACCAGAGCCGGGUAAUUGUUUUUUUUUUUUCAGCCGGGAAAAUGUCUUGGUCCUCAUCGAUUCUGUCGCUGCUGUCCUCACCAAAUCAGGAGGGGUAAUCUGCUGUGGACGACCUCAUCUCCCAAGUUCCUUGGGCAUAAACACAUCAGAACUUCCUCUUCACAUUGUCGUUGAAAUGCCAGCUUUAUCACCGACAAUGAGUCAGGAAAACAUUUUUAAGUGGAGAAAGAAAGAAGGAGAUAAGAUAGAAGUGGGGGAUAUAAUAUGUGAUAUAAUAUGUGAGAUAGAGACAGACAAAGCAACCAUUGAAUAUGAAUUUCUUAAAAAGGGGUGCAUGCAAGCAUAUGUGGGUUGAUGACCUCCAAAGAAAGUGGUCGCGGGGCUGAUAAGUGAUGACCUCCAAAGAUGCUCUUUACAAAUAGACAGCAGCGUAGAGACAGAGACAGAGAGAUAUGCGGUGGAAAAGAGAAAACAGAAACAAAAGCAAAAGAGAAAGCAAAAACAAAGAAUAAACACCUCACCAGAAUGAUGUGAUUUACCUUUUUGACAAAUGUAUGAUGUAAUUUAUUUUUUUUAUCUCUCGGAGACAUCUGUAUAAACCCCAUCAGAGGGUAAUAAUAGUAAAAAAAAAACGGCAAAGCCCAAAAUAAAUGGGCUGGAAUGUUGUGUGGAGGGCAAAGGCCUAUAAACCCAAAAUAGCUCCAACCAAGCGAUCAAAAGUACGCUCAGUACUCAAUAAUUAUUCGGCAACCUGCCACUAUUAUCACCAACCAGGUGACCAAAAGUACGCGCCCAGUACUCCACAAUUUUUUGGCAACCCGCCACUAUUAUCACCAACCAGGUGAUGAGAUGUACAACCCGUACUCUAAUUUGGCAACUAGUCAUUCAUGCCACCAACCAGGUGAUGAAAUGUACAACUCGUACUCUCCUUCAUGCCACCAAUCAGGUGAUUAAAAAUACGCCUAAUACUCCAAAUUAUACAUGAGCACUACUCAUGUCAUUCAUACAUAAACAUUCAUGAGCAUCACUCAUGACAAUCAUACAUAAACAUUCAUGACCAUCAUUCAUGUCCACAUUCAUGAGCAUCACUCAUGUUAACAUUCAUGAGCAUCACUCAUGACAACAUCCAUGAGCAUCACUCAUAUCAAUCAACAUAAACAUUCAUGAGCAUUACUCAUGUCAAACAGCUUCAAAAGCUUCAUUUACAGAGCUCUAGCUUCAAAAGCUUCAUUUACAAAAGCUCCAACUUCGAAAGCUUCAUUUACAGAGCUCUAACUUCAAAGCUUCACUUGCAAAGCUUCACCUACAAAGCUUCAAUGCAGGGUAUACAAAUACCGCCUCCGAACAACCGCCACUUCGGCCCAUACAUGGAUUCAAUUUGAAGUCUCCAACCAACAGACUCUAUUGACCGAAGACUUGGGGGACUACAUUAUGUACCAUAUAUUGGGCCUCAACUGGGCCUCAUGAAAAAUACUUGGGGGACGUAGCCCAUUACUUAUGUAUUGAGGAGCGAGCCCUUAUUCUAUAAAACGGACUCCCUCACUUUCAUUAAAGAGCACUCAUUAUUCAUGUAUUGAGGAGCAAACCCUUAUUUUAUAAAAGGGACUCCUUCACCAUCAUUAAAGAGCAACACCGCUAACUGAGCAACCGCCUCAUCGCGAGCAUCACUCCUAACCCAUCACUUAUGUAUUGAGGAGCGAGCCAUUAUUCUAUAAAAGAGACUCCCUCACCACCAUUAGAGAGCAUCGCCGCCUACUAAGCAACCGCAUCGCCGCGAGCAUUAACUCUAGCCCAUCAUUCAUGUAUUGAGGAGCGAGCCCUUAUUCUAUAAAAAGGACUCCCUCACCACCAUUAGAGAGCAUCGCCACCUACUGAGCAACCGCCUCGCCGCAAGCAUCAACUCUAGCCCAUUAUUUAUGAAUUGAGGAACGAGCCGUUAUUCUAUAAAAGGGACUCCCUCACCAUCAUUAGAGAGCAUUAACUCUAGCCCAUUAUUCAUGUAUUGAGGAGCGAGCCCUUAUUCUAUAAAAGGGACUCUCUCACCUUCAAACGCCGCAAGCCAAGCCAACCAAGGCAACAUAAGCCACGAGCCGAGCAGCCUCACACCGUGUGCUACUUCUAGUUAAGCGUCAUUUCAGAUUGAGCACUGCCUCAUAUCGAGCAUCAGUUCAAGAUAGCAUCUAGUUACUUCGGCCCACACAUGGACUAAAUUUCAAGUCUCCAGCCAAAAAGACUCUCUUGACUGACGACUUGGGGGACUACUAUUUAUACCAUAUUUAGGGCCUCGUAUUUAGACCUCGUAUAAAUACUCGGGGAAAUUAAAUGUAAUUAUGUAAUAAAGGAAGGGGCAAAUAUGUAAUUAGGGGAGGAGCCCUUAUUCUAUAAAAGGGUCUCCUCACCCUUACAAACCCUAAGCCUCCUCACACCCCCUAAGCUCUAAGCUCUCUCUAUCCCUCUUCAACAGAGAAAUAUAAUACAAUCAGUGUGGACGUAGCCCAAACCUUGGGGUGAACCAUGAUACAUCUUGUGUUAUUUACAUUUCAUGCAGAUUCACGGCCGGAUUUACGUUGUUCCAAGACCUCCGGUUUUGUGCAUCAACAAAGGUCAAGGCCAAGAGCCUCACGCGUUCACGAUGAAUGGGGGGCUUUGGCCGAAGAACCUCCGAUGCCAAAGUUAGAAUUUGAGAGAGAAAGUGUUCAAAGAAUUUUAGGAGAAUAAUGGACUUUCAAUGACGAACAUGAAAUAAGUACUUCUUUGGGGGGAGUUAAGUAACUCAGAAGAGUGUAGAAACUACUUCUUUAACCGUCAAAUUAGGAAGGAAUAAGUGGUUGUAACAUUGAAAAAGAUUAAGCAUAGAAAAGCAAUGGGCCCAGAUGAUAUAUCGAUCGAAGUGUGGAAAAUCUUAGGAGAGACAGGUAUAUUAUGGCUCACAGACCUUUUCAAUAGGAUUUUGAAAACGAAGAAGAUGCGAAAUGAGUGGUGAAAGAGCACUUAGGUGCCUAUCUACAAGAAUAAGGGCAACAUACAAAAUUGUAUGAACUAUAGGGGUAUCAAGUUAAUGAGUCAUACAAUGAAGCUCUGGGAGAGAGUAAUUGAGCAUAGACUAAGGCAAGAGACACGGGUCUCGAACAACCAAUUCGGGUUCAUGCCAGGGCGCUCAACCAUGGAGGCAAUCUAUCUCUUAUGAAGAUCGAUGGAAAGAUAUAAAGAUAUGAAAAAUGAUUUGCACAUGGUCUUUAUAGAUUUGGAAAAAGCGUAUGAUAGGGUUCCAAGAGACAUUCUUUGGAGGAUUUUAGAGAAGAAAGAAGUAUGAGUAGCAUAUAUCCAAACUAUAAAUGAUAUGUAUGAUGGAACAAGGACUGCCAUAAGAACUCAUGAAUGACAAAUUGAAAGCUUCCCCAUAAUUGUAGGGUUACAUCAAGGCUCAUCUUUAAGUCCUUACCUUUUUGCAUUGGUAAUGGAUGAGUUAAUAGGACAUAUUCAAGAUAAUAUUCCUUGGUGUAUGCUUUUCGCAGACGAUGUAGUGUUAAUAGAUAAAACUCAGGAAUGAGUAAAUGCGAAGCUUAACCUUUGGAGAGAAGUGUUGGAAUCUAAAAGUCUUCACCUAAGUCGGUCAAAGACAAAGUAUAUGGAGUGCAAGUUCAGUGCAAACGAAGGCUCAAAUGAGUUAGGAGUGAGGGUUGGAGAUCAGGAAAUACCAAAGAGCGAUCGUUUUCGCUACGUAUGAUCUAUCUUGCAUAAGAACGGAGAGUUGGAUGGAGACCUCAACCAUAAAAUACAAGCUGGAUGGAUGAAGUGGAAGAGUGCAUCCAGUGUGUUGUGUAACCAUCAUAUGCCACUAAAGCUUAAGGCAAAAUUUUAUAGGAUGACAAUAAAGCUAGCAAUGCUUUAUGGCACGAAAUGUUAGACGGUGAAGUAUGAACACGUACAUAAAAUGGGUGUAGUGAAGAUGAGAAUGCUUCGUUGGAUAUGUGGGCACACAAGAAAGGAUAAGAUUAGGAAUGAGGAUAUUUGAGAUAAAGUAGAAGUAGCCGAAAUUGAAGGAAAGAUGAGAGAAAAUCAUUUACGGUGGUUUGGACAUGUGAAACAAGGGCCUACUGACUCUCCGGUUAGAAGAUGCGAUUACAGGACAGAAGUUCAGGGCCGAAGGAGUAGAGGAAGACCUAGAAAACUUUGGAAAAGACUGUAAGAAAGAUUUAGAGUACUUUGAUCUAACGGAAGACGUGACUCAGAACCGAGCUCAAUGGCGUUCUAUAAUUCAUAUAGCCAACCCCACUUAGCGGAAAAAAGCUUUGUCGUUGUUGUUGUUGUUAUAUAAUUUGUGGGUGUGGCUUCAAUGCUACAUAUCAUUUAUUGUUUGGAGUAUUUUAACUGUUAGAUUUGAUUACAAAUCUGUUUAGAUUUUCAAUUUUCAAUUUUUGUUAUUUAUCUCCAUAUCAAUCAAUGCUAAGUAGUAGUGAAGAAAUUUUAUUGAUUUGUUUAUCAAAUACCAUACAUAUGGACUAGGGAAUCUGUGAGUUGUUUGCGAAGAGUCAACAGUGUAUAUGUCGGUGCCUUUCAAAGAGAGAAAUGUAUGUCUUCGAUAAUAACUAGAGAUAGGAGAGUAUGGAUUAGAGGAGUAUUACAACAAGACACCUUUCAUCUCUUUUUUAAAACGCGAAUUUAUUUCUUGACUUUAAAUUUUGAGUCUUUUUUCUAAUUUUGAUAAACCAUAUCUAUUCCAUAUCUUCUUUCUUUUUUCCAACUUAUCAUUUUUUUUCUUUGAACAAAAGAUAUUAUUUACACUAAAAGGGAGGGGUAGAUUUAAUCUCACAAUGGUUGGCAAUAAUAUGGUCCAAAUUCGUCUUUGGAGAUAAUCGAACCUAAAACCUUUAACUUACAAGUGAAAAAAAAUAUCACUAGAUCGUAGUACUAAUUGGCGUCACCCGCAUGUUUUCAAUCUCAAUCAUCAUUAUUUCCUGUAUUAUUCAAUGUUCUUACAAUAGUGAAGGAAAAUCCAAAUUAGUAGGUAAAAUAUUAUGGGCCAAGUUGAUAGGCCUCAUCCAUGAGCAACCAGUUAAUGGACCUCAAUCAUAAGCAACUUGAAAAAGGUUAUUAUUGUAAUAUAGUCAUCAAGUAAAAGUCCUAAUUCGUUUUUCUUGUAAGUUGCUCUCCGAAUCUACCCUAACCCUGCCUUGUCUUUGCACGUCUUGCUCAUGGUUUCGUCGCCACGACCUAGACUUGCAGAGCCCUUUCGAGAAAUUGUGGUAUACCCAUUCUACCCGCAGUUUCCCUCUCUAAUUGUUUUCUUAAUGUUUUUGCUUUAAGGUUCAUCUUCUUCUCUUUAGCUUCUUGUUUUGUUGUAGCAAGUAGCAACACAAAGAAAGCUACGAAAUCCUGAUAAAUUUGGCCUUUUUAGUUGAUAUUUGAUUGAAUUUGCAUGUGUGUGGA